AGAAGAGGACCAUCAUGGUGUUCCUUAGAGAUUAACUAGAAAAGGGUCAUCUCCAACUUUUGGUUGAAGUCCAUCCUGCUUCUACUUCUGAAAGGCAGCAAGUUUUCCUGGAAAGAACAUCAAGGGUCCCUGAAUAGCCCUCAGGGACUCUGGAGCCUCUGAGGUUUGCCACUAGCCACAGGUAAGUCAUACUGUGACAAGAAGCUCUGUGAACCCCCUCAAAUAUAUGAAUGUAAUGGGGGAAUUC
rnacentral:lncRNA from 1 species